rnacentral:rRNA from 1 species
UCCGUUUGGCUCCAUCUUUCUUCGGAUUUACUGGGUGUAAAGGGAGUGUAGGUGGCCAUGCAAGUCAGAAGUGAAAAUCCGGGGCUCAACCCCGGAACUGCUUUUGAAACUGUAAGGCUAGAGUGCAGGAGGGGUGAGUGGAAUUCCUAGUGUAGCGGUGAAAUGCGUAGAUAUUAGGAGGAACACCAGUGGCGAAGGCGGCUCACUGGACUGUAACUGACACUGAGGCUCGAAAGCGUGGGGAGCAAACAGG